ACGGGUGAGUAAUGUCUGGGGAUCUGCCCGAUAGAGGGGGAUAACCACUGAAAACGGUGGCUAAUACCGCAUAACGUCGCAAGACCAAAGAGGGGGACCUUCGGGCCUCUCACUAUCGGAUGAACCCAGAUGGGAUUAGCUAGUAGGCGGGGUAACGGCCCACCUAGGCGACGAUCCCUAGCUGGUCUGAGAGGAUGGCCAGCCACACUGGAACUGAGACACGGUCCAGACUCCUACGUGAGGCAGCAGUGGGGAAUAUUGCACAAUGGGCGCAAGCCUGAUGCAGCCAUGCCGCGUGUAUGAAGAAGGCCUUCGGGUUGUAAAGUACUUUCAGCGGGGAGGAAGGCGAUAAGGUUAAUAACCUUGUCGAUUGACGUUACCCGCAGAAGAAGCACCGGCUAACUCCGUGCCAGCAGCCGCGGUAAUACGGAGGGUGCAAGCGUUAAUCGGAAUUACUGGGCGUAAAGCGCACGCAGGCGGUCUGUUAAGUCAGAUGUGAAAUCCCCGGGCUUAACCUGGGAACUGCAUUUGAAACUGGCAGGCUUGAGUCUCGUAGAGGGGGGUAGAAUUCCAGGUGUAGCGGUG
rnacentral:rRNA from 1 species